rnacentral:tRNA from 1 species
AUUUAUUUAAUAUAUUUAGUAUAUUUAACUUCCAAUUAAAAAGACUGUUUACAGAAUAAAUA